AUCGAUGAAGAACGCAGCGAAAUGCGAUAAGUAGUGUGAAUUGCAGAAUUCAGUGAAUCAUCGAAUCUUUGAACGCACAUUGCGCCCUUCGGUAUUCCGUUGGGCAUGCCUGUUCGAGCGUCAUUUAAUCAUUCAAGCUCUGCUUGGUGUUGGGUGUUUGUUCCGCCUCAGCGCGUGGACUCGCCUUAAAUUCAUUGGCAGCCGGUAUGUUGGCUUCGUGCGCAGCACAUUGCGUCGCGAUUCUGGCAGGCCUCCUCCCAUUAAGCUUCUUUUAAGUUUGACCUCGGAUCAGGUAGGGAUACCCGCUGAACUUAAGCAUAUCAAUAAGCGGAGGAAAAGAAACCAACAGGGAUUGCCCCAGUAACGGCGAGUGAAGCGGCAAUAGCUCAAAUUUGAAAUCUGGCUCUUUCAGGGUCCGAGUUGUAAUUUGCAGAGGGCGCUUUGGCGUCGGCAGCAGCCUAAGUUCCUUGGAACAGGUCAUCAUAGAGGGUGAGAAUCCCGUAUGUGGCUGCUUGUCUUCGCCGUGUAAAGCCCCUUCGAUGAGUCGAGUUGUUUGGGAAUGCAGCUCUAAAUGGGAGGUAAAUUUCUUCUAAAGCUAAAUAUUGGCCAGAGACCGAUAGCGCACAAGUAGAGUGAUCGAAAGAUGAAAAGCACUUUGGAAAGAGAGUCAAAAAGCACGUGAAAUUGUUGAAAGGGAAGCGCUUGCAGCCAGACGUGCCCGUAGUUGCUCAUCGGGGGUUCUCCCCCGUGUACUCUUCUAUGGGCAGGCCAGCAUCAGUCCGGGCGGUUGGAGAAAGACCUGUGUCAUGUAGCUGUUUUCGGGCAGUGUUAUAGGGCAGGUGGAAUGCAACCAGCCUGGACUGAGGUCCGCGCAUCUGCUAGGAUGCUGGCGUAAUGGCUGUAAGCGGCCCGUCUUGAAACACGG
rnacentral:rRNA from 1 species